AGAGAAUUAAGCAAAAAAUGGGAUCCACAGCCAAUAAUAACAAUACGCCUGGUCAGAAUUGGCAGUUUCCAGGGUUUCAAAGCUCCCAGCAUUUGAUGCGGUCUACCAGAAAGCCCUCACCACAGCCAGCCAGCAUUGUGCUAUUUGCAUUUUCAGUCUUCAAAAUUGCACAUGAAAUACCUCCCUUGUGCCAACUUGGGACUGCUAGCAAGAAGGUUGUUACCAGAUGUGGCCUCUUACUCUUGGACAAGAUAAGUCAUAAAUUAUGAAUCUCCUUUCCUUAUGAAGUACCUUCCUCAGGUAUCUCAAGAAGAGUCACAAAACACAGAGUACUAUGGUCAGAGAGGCAGAAUGAGAAAGCUAUGUAAGUAGCCAAAGAAGACUUUAUGCACAGGUUAAACGCCUAAUUCAAAACAUGAAGAAAAUCUUUCAUACCACAUAGAACAAGAUGGUUAGUUAAUUCUAAAUAAAAGUGUGUCACUGUAGCCAAA
rnacentral:lncRNA from 1 species